UACGAAGGGGGCUAGCGUUGCUCGGAAUCACUGGGCGUAAAGCGCACGUAGGCGGCUUUCUAAGUCAGGGGUGAAAUCCUGGAGCUCAACUCCAGAACUGCCUUUGAUACUGGAGAGCUUGAGUCCGGAAGAGGUGAGUGGAACUCCGAGUGUAGAGGUGAAAUUCGUAGAUAUUCGCAAGAACACCAGUGGCGAAGGCGGCUCACUGGUCCGGUUCUGACGCUGAGGCGCGAAAGCGUGGGGAGCAAACAGG
rnacentral:rRNA from 1 species